rnacentral:RNase_P_RNA from 1 species
CGAGUUGGCCAGACAGUCGCGCAGCUUAGGUUUCGGCCUAGGUUGGGAGGAAAGUCCGGGCUCCAUAGGGUAGGACGCCAGAUAACCUCUGGGCAGCGUGAGCUGACGGCAAGUGCAGCAGAGAGAAGACCGCCACGUAAGUGGUAAGGGUGAAAGGGUGCGGUAAGAGCGCACCGCACAGCUGGUAACAGUUUGUGGCAAGGUAAACCCCGUCCGGAGCAAGACCAAAUAGGGACACUAUGGCGCGACCCGCGUUGUGUCCGGGUAGGUUGCUUGAAGUAUGCGGUGACGUAUACUCAGAUGAAUGACUGUCCAAGACAGAACCCGGCUUAUCGGCCAACUCGACUU